GACGAACGCUGGCGGCGUGCUUAACACAUGCAAGUCGAACGGAAAGGCCCUGCUUUUGUGGUGUGCUCGAGUGGCGAACGUGUGAGUAACACGUGUGUAACCUGCCCUUGACUUUGGUAUAACUUCAGGAAACUGGGGCUUAUACCGGAUAGGAUCUUCCUCUGCAUUGUGGGGUGUGGAAAUUUUCGGCGGUUGGGGAUGGACUCGCGGAUUAUCAGCUUGUUGGUGGGGUAGUGGCUUACCAAGGCUUUGACGGGUAGCCGGCCUGAGAGGGUGACCGGCCACAUUGGGACUGAGAUACGGCCCAGACUCCUAGGGGAGGCAGCAGUGGGGAAUAUUGCACAAUGGGCGGAAGCCUGAUGCAGCAACGCCGCGUGCGGGAUGACGGCCUUCGGGUUGUAAACCGCUUUCGCCUGUGACGAAGCGUGAGUGACGGUAAUGGGUAAAGAAGCACCGGCUAACUACGCG
rnacentral:rRNA from 1 species